CCCGGAAAAAAUAGAACCCACACGACGACUUAGGUCAUAUCUCCGCCUCGAGCGCAUCUCCACGAUCCAGUGCGCCCCUCCACCGCCAGCACCGGCCACCGCCCCUCCGCCGUGCGCCGCCCCCAACCCUGCGGCUUCAGUAGAUCCGCACCACCGCCGCCCUUCCUCUCCACCGUCGCCCGCGCCCGCCCGCGGUCAUCCAUCACCGCGUUCUUAAUGGCUUCGGUGACCACGGCGCCUCGGCUGCGACCCUGGCCUGCUUGACCGCCGGAUGGAUGGAUACCGGCCGAGCUCAUCCUUGGCGCUCCGGCUGCGACCCAUGGUUGAUUGGCCGCCGGCUGGAAGGGGACGUCUCCUCCCGACUAAGCUUGAUGUGGGGCGGUGGACUGACAGCCUGGUGUGUGCGGCCUGCGGACGGCACCCACUAAAUGAUGCAUCUUCUCUUGUCGUCCUCAUGCUCUCUGCCCUUAAUUUGUUAUCCUAUCUCUCUGAUUGUUGGCUACAUGCGCAGGUGUUUGAGGCAGCAGCGCACAAGCGGUGACUUGCAUCCAGUAGGUGGCAGCAAGAAGCAGCAACGACUCUGAGUUAGGUGCUAGCAAUGCACCCCCUCCCCAUUCAUCUACGUAAAUGGAUUUUCAACGGCCAAACUACCCUCUUGAUUCUUUCUUUAGUGUUUUCAGUUUUUACUAACAAUCCAUAUUUGGUAAACCGUGAAAUCUGUUCAGAAGCAUCUGCCAACAACCUGUUUGAUGUUAUGCAUACGACGGAUUGAGAUACAGUCUAAUUUUCAGGACGCGAUGUACGCCGGCACGCACACGGCAAGGUGACCCCAGCUGAAAACGUGGAGAGGCGGUCGUUUCGGGGAAGCGUAGGGAGGCGGUCGUUCCGGCGGCGGCGGCUUCCUAUGGCACGGGGUCCAACUGAGGGAGAGGGAGAGGCAUGAGAUUGCUGUGUCGCCCGAGCUGAAGGGCGCUCACGCAUCGUAUAUGUCCAGAUUAGCAAGAAAUCACUCAAAACUAAUGUGUACUACUCCCUCCGUUCCAAAAUACUUGUCUUUCUAGGCAUUUUAACAAGUGACUACAUACGGAGCAAAAUGAGUGAAUCUACACUCUAAAAUAUGUCUAUAUACAUCCGUAUGUAGUAGUCAUUUGAAAUGUCUAGAAAGACAAAUAUUUAGGAAUGGAGGGAGUAUAUGUUAUAUUCUGAUCUAUCUAUGCAUACGCCCUGUAUGGGUGAGGAGCUGCACCUUUCCAAAUUUUACAUGGCCAAAGUUCUGCAGGUGUAUGGGAUUUCUUCAGGACCAACAGCGUGGAUGUUCAGGCGAGAUAGCCACGAUGGGAACACGAUUCAUAUGCUUCAGUUCCAUCCAUGCUCAGGCCAAUAUGCAAAUUAAUGGUGGAGGACAACAGGGUCGACGAGAUGCACAAUUCCUAUGCUUCAGGCGACACAGCCAUGAUGGGAACACGACUCAUAUUCUUCAGUCUCUAUUUCGACUAAGCUGUGAUUAGAGUUAUACACUGCUUCCUUCCUGAAGUGACGAGAGAUGUCAGUUAUAUACAGAGAAGCUUGAGUGGAUGUGCGUUUGGGAUUAUACAAUUUAAAGGCCACUUUAUUUUUUGCUUUUAGUGUAUGGACCUGGAGGUUCUACCUAAUAGUAGUAGCUUAUUGACUUCUGAAAGCAAUAUAAGCCCAAUAGUCUUUGCAAAAUAAAAAACGCCAACUACUGGUUUUAUAGCCAGUUAGACCGUAUCAUCACACUAAUCUUUUCUUUUAUUGGGUUGAACUCCAGUUAUUCUGUAAUUACUACAUUAACAAACUGUUCUUCACAUUCGGUUGUGAUUUGGUUUCAAAAGUUCAUUUUUACAUUAA